rnacentral:rRNA from 1 species
AACGAACGCUGGCGGCAUGCCUAACACAUGCAAGUCGAACGAGACCUUCGGGUCUAGUGGCGCACCGGUGCGUAACGCGUGGGAACCUGCCCUUAGGUUCGGAAUAACUCCCCGAAAGGGGUGCUAAUACCGGAUAAUGUCUUCGGACCAAAGAUUUAUCGCCUUUGGAUGGGCCCGCGUUGGAUUAGCUAGUUGGUAGGGUAAAAGCCUACCAAGGCGACGAUCCAUAGCUGGUCUGAGAGGAUGAUCAGCCACACUGGGACUGAGACACGGCCCAGACUCCUACGGGAGGCAGCAGUGGGGAAUAUUGGACAAUGGGCGAAAGCCUGAUCCAGCAAUGCCGCGUGAGUGAUGAAGGCCUUAGGGUUGUAAAGCUCUUUUACCCGGGAUGAUAAUGACAGUACCGGGAGAAUAAGCUCCGGCUAACUCCGUG